rnacentral:rRNA from 1 species
AUACGGAGGGUGCAAGCGUUACUCGGAAUCACUGGGCGUAAAGCGCGCGCAGGCGGCUUGGUAAGUUGGAUGUGAAAGCCUACGGCUCAACCGUAGAACUGCAUCCAAAACUAUUUAGCUAGAGUGUGGGAGAGGAAGAUGGAAUUAGUUGUGUAGGGGUAAAAUCCGUAGAGAUAACUAGGAAUACCAAAAGCGAAGGCAAUCUUCUGGAACACUACUGACGCUGAGGCGCGAAGGCGUGGGGAGCAAACAGGAUUAGAAACCCUAGUAGUCC